rnacentral:rRNA from 1 species
CCCGCAGGCACAAUGAAAGUGAAGGCCACCCUUAAGCGGGGCCGAGGGAGGACGGGGGUCCUAGAGAACCUCCCGCACUCCCGGGGCGUCUGAUUCCUCAUUGCGAGGGGAGGCGCACCCAGAGCGCACACGUUGGGACCCGAAAGUGGUGAACUAUUA